GAUGAAUGCUGGCGGCGUGCCUAAUACAUGCAAGUCGAGCGAACAGAUGAGGAGCUUGCUCCUCUGACGUUAGCGGCGGACGGGUGAGUAACACGUGGAUAACCUACCUAUAAGACUGGGAUAACUUCGGGAAACCGGAGCUAAUACCGGAUAAUAUAUUGAACCGCAUGGUUCAAUAGUGAAAGACGGUUUUGCUGUCACUUAUAGAUGGAUCCGCGCCGCAUUAGCUAGUUGGUAAGGUAACGGCUUACCAAGGCGACGAUGCGUAGCCGACCUGAGAGGGUGAUCGGCCACACUGGAACUGAGACACGGUCCAGACUCCUACGGGAGGCAGCAGUAGGGAAUCUUCCGCAAUGGGCGAAAGCCUGACGGAGCAACGCCGCGUGAGUGAUGAAGGUCUUCGGAUCGUAAAACUCUGUUAUUAGGGAAGAACAAAUGUGUAAGUAACUAUGCACGUCUUGACGGUACCUAAUCAGAAAGCCACGGCUAACUACGUG
rnacentral:rRNA from 1 species